GGAUACUAGCUGUUUGAGGAAUCGACCCCUUGAGUAGCGAAGCUAACGCGUUAAGUAUCCCGCCUGUGGAGUACGAUCGCAAGAUUAAAACAUAAAGGAAUUGACGGGGACCCGCACAAGCGGUGGAGCAUGUUCUUUAAUUCGAUGCUAAUCGAUAUACCUUACCAAGGCUUGACAUCUCGGGAAGGCCUCCGAAAGGAGACUGUGCCUUUUAGGAACCCGAUGACAGGUGAUGCAUGGCUGUCGUCAG
rnacentral:rRNA from 1 species